CUGUCGAGUGAAACGAGGCUGCGAUCUUUUGAUCUUGGGAUUCAAGUGGGCCUGAAAGGAUCGCAGCCUCGUUUCACUCGACAG
rnacentral:misc_RNA from 1 species